AUUGAACGCUGGCGGCAGGCAUAACACAUGCAAGUCGAACGAGUGGCGGACGGGUGAGUAAUGUCUGGGAAACUUCCUGAUGGAGGGGGAUAACUACUGGAAACGGUAGCUAAUACCGCCUACCAUCGGAUGUGCCCCGAUGGGAUUAGCUAGUAGGGGGGGGAAAGGCUCACCUAGGCGACGAUCCCUAGCUGGGCGGAGAGGAUGAACAGCCACACUGGAAAUGAGACACGGUCCAGACUCCUACGGGAGGCAGAAGUGGGGAAUAUUGCAAAAUGGGCGAAAGCCUGAUGCAGCCAUGCCGCGUGUAUGAAGAAGGCCGUCGGGUUGUAAAGUACUUUCAGCGGGGAGGCUUUACCCGAAGAAGAAGCACCGGCUAACUCCGUGCCAGCAGCCGCGGUAAUAC
rnacentral:rRNA from 1 species